AGCACCAUACUAUGUUGGAAGCACCCGUUCUUGUCCAAUCACUGAAGUUAAGCGAGGUUGGGCCGGUUAGUACUUGCUAACAAAAAUCAAUCUCAAGACCCCUGUUAUUUACUCG